UUAUGUUAAAUGAAACCGGGUGCUUUCUGCUUUUACUAGCUUUUUAUUUUUAUUUUUAUUUUUCUAAUCAAGAAGUUCUACUUUAAUUACCGGAUCAAUAACUUAUGAAUUAAGAUUAUCCGAUUUCCUCUAAACUCUACAGCAUAACUCUAGAUUCGACCCGAUUGAGCUAACUAACGACUCUACAUUUGUUAUUGUUUUUGACAUAUGAUUAAUUCUCCCAUUACAGAAUUCAAC
rnacentral:lncRNA from 1 species